AACGCACAUUGCGCCCAUUAGUAUUCUAGUGGGCAUGCCUGUUCGAGCGUCAUUUCAACCCUUAAGCCUAGCUUAGUAUUGGGAAUCGACUUUACUGUCGUUCCUCAAAUUCAACGGCGGAUUUAUAGCAAUCUCUGAACGUAGUAAUUUUUUUUCUCGUUUUUGAAAUACUAUAAACCUCGGCCGCUAAACCCCCAAUUUCUUAUGGUUGACCUCGGAUCAGGUAGGAAUACCCGCUGAACUUAA
rnacentral:misc_RNA from 1 species